rnacentral:lncRNA from 1 species
GGAAAGGAAAACUGGGAGAAUUCAGGGUUCUGGAAGUAAGAGGAGAGACUCUUUCCUAAAGUGAUCAAACAGGAUGAGAUUUAUUUGUUUGUGUGAUAGGAGCUCACUGAAAACUUCAGAGACAAUUGUUUCACUGGAAUGAGGGGAGCUGGGUCCAGAUUGAGGUGAGAUGUGGUGUUAUUGGGAGAUGAAGAGACAAAGAUAAAGACUAGGAGCAAUGGUUCUAAGAAGUUUACUUGCACAGUAAAAGGAAAAAAUUAUAAAAAUGUUACCU